UGUUGUGUUAAAUUUAAUGACAUUGACUUAAGUUAGGGUAGUUGAAUUUUGAAUAUUUUCAGUGCAACACGAAUGUAUACCACAAGCCGUUUUGUCCAUGGAUGUUCUCUGUCAGGCAAAGUCCGGAAUGGGAAAGACAGCGGUGUUUGUUAUAUCCACACUCCAGCAAAUUCAAGAGUCCAUCAACGAUGUUGUUGUCUUGGUCAUUGCCCACACACGGGAACUUGCAUACCAGAUUGCGCAUGAGUACCAGACCUUUUCAAAAUACCUGCCAGAAAUCAAAGUUGCCGUGUUUUUUGGCGGACUUCCAAUCAAGAGGGAUGAAGAGGUUCUCGCAAAGAACCGCCCAAACAUCGUCGUGGGAACGCCUGGUCGUCUGCUGGCUCUUGUUCAGAAGAAAAAGCUUACCCUGGACAAUCUCCGUUACUUCAUUGUAGACGAGUGUGAUCAAGUACUCAAAGAAAUCGUGAUGAGGAAGGAUGUACAGGCCAUAUUCAUACGAUCACCUUGCGCAAAACAAGUCAUGAUGUUUAGUGCCACUCUCAACAAGGAUCUGAGAACUGUGUGCAAGCGAUUUAUGAGUGACGUAAAUAUUUUAAAGACUUCGAUUCAUUUUUUUAAAUUUGAUUUUGAAUUUGAAAGUGUCAGUUGCGUGAUGGAAUUGGAUUGAAAAGCAUAAUUUUCAACAUCUGCAUACGCUAUCCCCGUUUCCCAAGAAAAUUAGUUCUAAGUUGCAUCACGAGAAUUCAUCGAUGACAUUUUAUUUGGAGAUGAAAGUGUUUUUUGUGCAUGCCGUCAGUAUAUAGUUCUAAUUGGACUUAUUGCCUUGAGGUCCUUUGAUGACAGCUCUUUUGAGAAGGUACUAACAGGCCAUUCUAACGGAAACUCUGAGUGCUUUCUGUUUUAUCAUGAUUUCUUAUCCGGACAUUUCAAAGUAUUUCCAUCAGAAGCCGCCCUAAAUAAAAUGACGGAUCUUGACUGGAUGGCGAUCACGUUAUAAUCAUCAAUGACAUAAAUUGAUUGGAGGUGAAUUUUUAUCGUGAAAUACUCGCCACAAAGUUCUCGAGUCUUGAACCCCUAAAAGCCUUUUGAUGACAUCGAAAUUGGAAAAAGUGUUUCUUGUUAGGUGUUUCCGUUUCAUUUUAUAUGCAGAUGUUCGUUUAAUUCUACCUGCACAUUAGUUUCACUUCCUGUUACCCUCUGAAAUGAAACAAAUGUUUUUGUUGAUUGGUUGCAGCCAGUUGAAAUUAUCAUCGACGACGAAUCAAAAUUGACACUCCAUGGACUGCAACAGUAUUACAUUCAAAUGGAGGAAAAUAAAAAAUCGCGCAAAAUCUGUGACUUGUUGGACCUGCUUGAAUUUAACCAGGUGAUCAUCUUCGUGAAUUCCAUCAGCCGAUGUCAGGCUUUGACCUCUCUUCUCCUGGAGCAGAAUUUUCCUGUUCUUACCAUACACAGGGCAAUGGAACAAACCGAAAGACUGUCCCGGUACCAACAGUUCAAAGACUUCCAGAAGAGAAUACUGGUGGCCACAAACCUGUUUGGUAGAGGAAUGGACAUUGAAAGAGUCAACAUUAUCAUCAACUACGACACACCUGAAGAAUCAGACACGUAUCUUCACAGGGUGGGUCGAGCUGGUCGAUUCGGGACGAAGGGGUUGGCCAUUACAUUUGUGUCAAACCGGUCAGAUGCAGAAGUAAUGAAUUCUGUGCAAGAGAGAUUCGAAGUCGGAAUAGAAAAAAUGCCAACACAGGUCGAUGUAUCGUCAUACAUCGGUACUAGUGAAAAUGCUUGAACAUGACGACACGAGGAAGGUGAUCAUAUAGACAGAACAAAAAUGACUGUGUGGCUUUAGUACCAUAAGUAGUGUAAAUACUGGUACAAUGUACAUUUAUCAUUGCAAUACGUGUAUACAAUUAUAGUUAUUGUUGUUUAUCUGUUCAAUAAAAUGUAGAAC
rnacentral:misc_RNA from 1 species